rnacentral:lncRNA from 1 species
AGGAUGGCGGCGGAGCAGGACCCCGAGGCGCGCGCGGCGGCGCGGCCGCUGCUCACUGACCUCUACCAGGCCACCAUGGCGUUGGGCUAUUGGCGCGCGGGCCGGGCGCGGGACGCCGCCGAGUUCGAGCUCUUCUUCCGCCGCUGCCCGUUCGGCGGCGCCUUCGCCUUGGCCGCCGGCUUGCGCGACUGUGUGCGCUUCCUGCGCGCCUUCCGCCUGCGGGACGCCGGUAGUCCCCCGUCCGCGCGACGAGCCCCCCACGCCCGGCAGAAACCCCCACCUAUGGCCGGUGGAAGUCCUUGUCCCCCCGUGGAACCCCCCAUGUCCCACGACCGGUCUGUCCCCGCGCUGGUCUCAGCGCAGUUACCUCGUUUCCAGACGUGCAGUUCCUGGCCUCGGUGCUGCCCCCAGACACGGAUCCUGCGUUCUUCGAGCACCUUCGGGCCCUCGACUGCUCCGAGGUGACGGUGCGAGCCCUGCCCGAGGGCUCCCUCGCCUUCCCCGGAGUGCCGCUCCUGCAGGUGUCCGGGCCGCUCCUGGUGGUGCAGCUGCUGGAGACACCGCUGCUCUGCCUGGUCAGCUACGCCAGCCUGGUGGCCACCAACGCAGCGCGGCUUCGCUUGAUCGCAGGGCCAGAGAAGCGGCUGCUAGAGAUGGGCCUGAGGCGGGCUCAGGGCCCCGAUGGGGGCCUGACAGCCUCCACCUACAGCUACCUGGGCGGU